rnacentral:rRNA from 1 species
UACGUAGGGGGCGAGCGUUGUCCGGAUUCAUUGGGCGUAAAGCGCGUGUAGGCGGUCCGGUAAGUCCGCUGUGAAAGUCGGGGGCUCAACCCUCGGAUGCCGGUGGAUACUGUCGGGCUUGAGUACGGAAGAGGCGAGUGGAAUUCCUGGUGUAGCGGUGAAAUGCGCAGAUAUCAGGAGGAACACCAAUUGCGAAGGCAGCUCGCUGGGACGUUACUGACGCUGAGACGCGAAAGCGUGGGGAGCAAACAGG